AACAGGGUCAGACAGUGUUUGACAAUAUGACAGUUAUUAAGGGUUUAAACUGGUGUUCUAAGAGGGGGGGGGGGGAACAAAACAGUCAAACUAAGUCCAUAAAACAGGGGUUUUCUUCACACUCUGCAUCCGAAGUGCAUAGCAAAACUGCAGAUCCUUUGUCAGAGCAUUUAAAGGGCCAGAACCAGUCUCAUAAAAUCCACUAUGCCCAAAUAACGUAUUUAAAGGGCAAAAUCUUCUAGGGGCCAUAGUC